rnacentral:rRNA from 1 species
GACGAACGCUGGCGGCGUGCUUAACACAUACAAGUCGAACGCUGAAGCUUGGUGCUUGCACUGGGUGGAUGAGUGGCGAACGGGUGAGUAAUACGUGAGUAACCUGCCCUUGACUCUGGGAUAAGCCUGGGAAACUGGGUCUAAUACUGGAUACGACAUGUCACCGCAUGGUGGUGUGUGGAAAGGGUUUUACUGGUUUUGGAUGGGCUCACGGCCUAUCAGCUUGUUGGUGGGGUAAUGGCUCACCAAGGCGACGACGGGUAGCCGGCCUGAGAGGGUGACCGGCCACACUGGGACUGAGACACGGCCCAGACUCCUACGGGAGGCAGCAGUGGGGAAUAUUGCACAAUGGGCGGAAGCCUGAUGCAGCGACGCCGCGUGAGGGAUGACGGCCUUCGGGUUGUAAACCUCUUUCAGCACGGAAGAAGCGAAAGUGACGGUACGUGCAGAAGAAGCGCCGGCUAACUACGUG